UACGGAGGGGACUAGCGUUGUUCGGAAUUACUGGGCGUAAAGCGCACGUAGGCGGAUUUGUAAGUCAGGGGUGAAAUCCCGGGGCUCAACCUCGGAACUGCCUUUGAUACUGCAAAUCUCGAGUCCGGAAGAGGUGAGUGGAAUUCCUGGUGUAGCGGUGAAAUGCGCAGAUAUCAGGAAGAACACCAAUGGCGAAGGCAGCUCUCUGGGACGGUACUGACGCUGAAACGCGAAAGCGUGGGGAGCGAACAGG
rnacentral:rRNA from 1 species